rnacentral:lncRNA from 1 species
GGCCAGAUCCACGAUCAGGUGCAUGGCAGGGGCUUGUCCGCAGGACCGGAACCUUGGCAAUGGGAAGGCAGCCCUUUCCCCUCCAUCACUCCGGGGAGCUCACGUGCGGACGGGGUCCUCUGUAGCAUCUUUAAAUUGGAGGUACCUCACUCCGGAUUCUAUUAAAAUCGUAAUCUCUAGAAGAUGGAUUCAGCAAAUGCCAGGCGUGGAGCCAUGAAUGUUUCCAUAAGAAACAAGAAAAAUAGAAAGAAUGUGUGUUAGCCAGACGACACCUUGAUGGCACCCCUGCCACCUCCCCAGCCCUCCUCAGUGGCAAAGUGAUUUAGCUCAGUUGGGCUUCUCCAAAAUGGAAAUAGUCACUUGUUUGAGCAAAUAAAUGUAAUGAAAGUUGUUCCGGAAAAAU